UACGGGGGGGGCAAGCGUUGUUCGGAAUUACUGGGCGUAAAGGGUCUGUAGGUGGCCAACUAAGUCAGACGUGAAAUCCCUCAGCUUAACUGGGGAACUGCGUCUGAGACUGGAUGGCUCGAGUGCAGGAGAGGAAUGCGGAAUUCCAGGUGUAGCGGUGAAAUGCGUAGAUAUCUGGAGGAACACCGGUGGCGAAGGCGGCAUCCUGGACCGGCAUUGACGCUGAGGAGCGAAAGCCAGGGGAGCAAACGGG
rnacentral:rRNA from 1 species